AACGAACGCUGGCGGCAUGCCUAACACAUGCAAGUCGAACGAGGCCUUCGGGUCUAGUGGCGCACGGGUGCGUAACGCGUGGGAACCUGCCCUUAGGUUCGGAUUAACUCCCCGAAAGGGGUGCUAAUACCGGAUAAUGUCUUCGGACCAAAGAUUUAUCGCCUUUGGAUGGGCCCGCGUUGGAUUAGCUAGUUGGUAGGGUAAAAGCCUACCAAGGCGACGAUCCAUAGCUGGUCUGAGAGGAUGAUCAGCCACACUGGGACUGAGACACGGCCCAGACUCCUACGGGAGGCAGCAGUGGGGAAUAUUGGACAAUGGGCGAAAGCCUGAUCCAGCAAUGCCGCGUGAGUGAUGAAGGCCUUAGGGUUGUAAAGCUCUUUUACCCGGGAUGAUAAUGACAGUACCGGGAGAAUAAGCUCCGGCUAACUCCGUG
rnacentral:rRNA from 1 species